rnacentral:rRNA from 1 species
ACGCUGGCGGCGUGCUUAACACAUGCAAGUCGAACGAUGAUCCGGUGCUUGCACCGGGGAUUAGUGGCGAACGGGUGAGUAACACGUGAGUAACCUGCCCUUGACUCUGGGAUAAGCCUGGGAAACUGGGUCUAAUACCGGAUAUGACCUUCCAUCGCAUGGUGGUUGGUGGAAAGCUUUUGUGGUUUUGGAUGGACUCGCGGCCUAUCAGCUUGUUGGUGGGGUAAUGGCCUACCAAGGCGACGACGGGUAGCCGGCCUGAGAGGGUGACCGGCCACACUGGGACUGAGACACGGCCCAGACUCCUACGGGAGGCAGCAGUGGGGAAUAUUGCACAAUGGGCGCAAGCCUGAUGCAGCGACGCCGCGUGAGGGAUGACGGCCUUCGGGUUGUAAACCUCUUUCAGUAGGGAAGAAGCGAAAGUGACGGUACCUGCAGAAGAAGCGCCGGCUAACUACGUGCCAGCAGCCGCGGUAAUACGUAGGGCGCAAGCGUUAUCCGGAAUUAUUGGGCGUAAAGAGCUCGUAGGCGGUUUGUCGCGUCUGCCGUGAAAGUCCGGGGCUCAACUCCGGAUCUGCGGUGGGUACGGGCAGACUAGAGUGAUGUAGGGGAGACUGGAAUUCCUGGUGUAGCGGUGAAAUGCGCAGAUAUCAGGAGGAACACCGAUGGCGAAGGCAGGUCUCUGGGCAUUAACUGACGCUGAGGAGCGAAAGCAUGGGGAGCGAACAGGAUUAGAUACCCUGGUAGUCCAUGCCGUAAACGUUGGGCAGUAGGUGUGGGGGACAUUCCACGUUUUCCGCGCCGUAGCUAACGCAUUAAGUGCCCCGCCU